CUCUGCUAUGAGGAGGCAGGAGCCCACUUAAGGCUGUAUUCACGAAGCGGAGAGACAGCUGCCUUGAAACUCUGCGACGCUGUGGGCUGCGGUGGCCAAGGUGUGCAGCAGCACAUCCCUCCCCGUGCAGACUGCCUGCCCAGACCCCGCCGUGCUCUCUGCCCACUCCCGCAACGCGCAAAACAACAGCCUGCAGGGGGCACCAGCUGUGUUCUCAGAAAAACAAGUCUCCAUCUCCCCAGCCCUCUCCGUGCCAAAGUGGCCCCAACUGCUCCAACAUCUCUUCCUAGGAACCGAGUUUUGAGUUUCGACAGGGGAGGGGUGUUGGUAGGCAGUGGGUUCUCAUCAGAUUGUGGAGAUGGGAUGUUCAGAGAGAAGCAGGGAAGACCCCUUCCCCCUACCUGACACCGUCACCCCAAUCAGGUCACAAUUCCCAAAGACACUCUGUUCCAAUUCUGUGGGAAGCAUCACAAUUAGACUUUCAGAAUAGAGAUUUUAAAAAGACAUAUCAAAUUAGAUUUAAAUAUAGGUUCAUCUACUCAUUGGCCAUGUAACCUGGGCAGGUGACAACCUCUCUUGAGCCUCAGCUUCCUCCCCUGAAAAAAUAGGAGUAACCUGGAACACUGUCAAGUAUUCAAUACAUGCUCAUUGAUGUUAUUACUGUUAUUCAAAUGACUGACCCUCAGGCAGACCCCUCCCAGGACUGAGUAAAGAGCUGGCAUAAACCUGGUAGAGGGAAGGGGUGGGAAGAGUCCCCUAGACUCUGGGGAGAAGCCUCAGAAAUAACAGGAGGCUGAGAGGGAGAAUCAAAUUAGGCUGUUAUGGGAGCAAAGGACCUGCAAGAUCAGCCAGCCCUGCACUGUGCAGUGGAGUGACAGGUGCUGCAAGAGCGGGGUGUGCCCAAGGCCACUGUGAGGGAAGGCGGCAAAUGAACAGAGCCAGGCCCCCAUCUCCAGUAGCCCUGUAGCAGGAGGACCCAAGGAGGCUGGAGGUAGAACUGUCAGCAACUCGAGGCCCUGCCCUCUUCCCAACACACACACAGACACACACACGCCCUGUCACUGUUCCUUUGGCCUCAACCAACCACAUGGCAUCAGAGCCUAGGUUCAGAGUUGGGGAGACACAGGAAGUACGACUCUAGGAAGCUCGGGAAGGACCCAAGACAGAGCAACUUCCAGGGACAGUGGAAGGGGAGCUAGUAUACUGAGUCUGGGGCAGAGGAGGGACCUGGUUAGCAUGGGAACAAACAGGUUGUAACCCAAGGACCACAGACAGACCUGCACCCUGAAUGCUGGGGCUGUGCCUAGUGACAGCCCAUCCCACCACUGAAGGCCUGGCCACCCUGGGCUCUGUGGCACUGGACCCCAGCAGGAAGCCCCGCAGUGGGUUUCCCAGGACCUCCUAGACCAUCUGCCAGUCCUCAGCCAUCCCGCACAGACAGCGGCAUCUGGGCAUAGACGCCACCCCGCCUCCAGGAUCUGGCCGUGCACCCCUGAACAACCUCUUCUUUCUUUCCCUGCCAGAGGAACGGCUCACCUGCCCCAGGGCAGAAGUGCCCUGUCUCCUCCACAUCAGCUCCAGGAAUAGCUGCCUGAUUGAGUAGCCAGGGACCUUGCUUGAGCCACAUGCCAGAGCAGGAGAAGGCAACAAACAGUCAGCACUGUGAAGGGCAGAAGAGAGAAGCGGACGAGCACGUCCCCCUCCUCCUCUGCACUGCCCACCGGGCAGUCCCCACAUCUCCUCCAUGCGUUUCCUCUGAGGCCUGCCUGACCUGGCCCAGACCAUCUGGGAUCUUUCUGACUCAACUGCUGCUAUCACACUAUCGUUACAAUCAUCCGAAAACCAAGGAGUCCUUAAGAAGAGUGCAGCGGAGACAGAGAUGGGCCCCAGGGAAGUCUUUAGAUGAAAAGGGUUGGCUACUAUUGUACUGGAGGCAGAGCGCCCAGGACAGAGCCUGGGGGUAAGAGAAGGAAGCUCUCCCUUCUUGGCCAGCUCUGUUUUCUUUUUACUUGUGUCAUUGGAAUAGAUAAGAAAACAGGACUGUCUCAGAAAUGGCUGGUUUAUCCUUAAGGUUUCUAAAUGCCUUAACUACACUGUGAGGUCCUUAAAUGCAGCGUACAGGUCUUCUCUGUG